rnacentral:rRNA from 1 species
UAGGGAAUCUUCCGCAAUGGACGCAAGUCUGACGGAGCAACGCCGCGUGUGUGAAGAAGGUCUUCGGAUCGUAAAGCACUGUUAUUAGAGAAGAACAACCGGUAGAGUAACUGUUACCGGCUUGACGGUAUCUAACCAGAAAGCCACGGCUAACUACGUGCCAGCAGCCGCGGUAAUACGUAGGUGGCAAGCGUUGUCCGGAUUUAUUGGGCGUAAAGGGAGCGCAGGCGGUGACUUAAGUCUGAUGUGAAAGCCCACGGCUCAACCGUGGAAGGUCAUUGGAAACUGGGUCACUUGAGUGCAGAAGAGGAAAGUGGAAUUCCAUGUGUAGCGGUGAAAUGCGUAGAUAUAUGGAGGAACACCAGUGGCGAAGGCGACUUUCUGGUCUGUAACUGACGCUGAGGCUCGAAAGCGUGGGGAGCAAACAGG